rnacentral:piRNA from 1 species
UAUCUACUCUUGAGUGGAAAGACCAGC